GACCGCAUCUUCGGGCUCACGGAAAUGGCCUCGCAGCUUGAUGCGCGAACCGUACCGUAGCUCGCCCGGCAAUCGUCCCACGUACGUUACGUGUGAGCUAAAUCGCUCAUGGAAUAUAACUGUUUUAACUCGUUGAACUUCUGGAGUGUCGUUAGCAGUACCUGAGUGAUUAUCUUUGGAUGAAGACACUCAAAGGGUUUUACUUGAUUUCGCAAGCGUUGCAACGUUUACUGCAACUGCUGCAUUUGACAGGACAAGCACAUCAGUUGUGUUCGGAACGUCAUCAUGCUUAAGACAGCCUUCGCACUUAAUAUCGCAAGCGCGCGCAAACUGGUCAAACUAGCAGGCAUGCGUUAGGCUAUUACCUGCUCGACGCUCGUGCAGGAAUUCACGAAACCUAAUAUCUUGCCACGACUUGGACAUCUUUAAUCAACAAAAAGAUGAGCCAUUGAUAUGACAUCGUUCAGGACUAGAUGAAAGAUUCUAUGGGAUUACAGAGAUUGCAAAAAGUUGAA